AGUCACUGACAUUAGAUACCCGCGUAGUCCCAGCCGUAAACAAUGUGCGUUAGGUGUGUCGGUAACCACGUGUUACUGAUGCGCCGAAGAGAAAUCGUGAAACGCACCACCUGGGAAGUACGGUCGCAAGGCUGAAACUUAAAGGAAUUGGCGGGGAGCACCACAACAGGUGGAGCCUGCGGUUUAAUUGGAUUCAACGCCGGACAUCUCACCGGAUAAGACAGCUGAAUGAUUGUCAAUCUGAAGGUUUACAUGACUAGCUG
rnacentral:rRNA from 1 species